UUUACAUCCGGGAAGCGUCGGGUUUAGGUACAAGUGCGCAAGUUGUGUUUUGUGAGCUAAAAUGGUAAUUGAGUCGAAAUUGACUGUACUGACUAAAAUGCAGAAGAUUCAGGAUUCUUGUUGCAUUCGUAGCCCGGGAUCAGCUUUAAAAACCUUUAGGUUUCCAAGCAUGCGGGGACUUAGGUGUAAGUUACGUCGCGGGAGGGCCACGUGCAGCCCUGGAUCCUGACUCCUGUGCGCGUGGGCCACGGUCCCUUGCAUGAGGUUCCGUGCACUGGUGAAGGUCAGUCUCGCCAUCGGUGUCAUAAGGUCACCUUGAGUCCACUCUGACCAUUGCGUCACAGCACCCUGAGACCCUCCAGAGUUUCAUCCGGAUGGAAGCUGAAGUCGUUCCGAUGGGUGAUGGAAACAGGACAAGGUAUCAAAUCCAAAGUGAUGGAUGAAGUCUUAAUUGGCAUUCUGCAGUAGAUUAUUAAACUUAAAUCUUGGUUGAGGGAACGAGUGUUUGGAAUAAUGUUCUAGAAAGUAGCAGGGCACCUAUUUUCAGUGCAUAACUGAAUUUUUAAAUUGUUAUUUAAGGUGAUUCCUUGAUAAAUAAAAUGCUGAUUCCAUG